UACGUAGGGUGCGAGCGUUGUCCGGAAUUAUUGGGCGUAAAGAGCUCGUAGGCGGUGUGUCGCGUCGGCCGUGAAAACCUGCAGCUUAACUGUGGGCUUGCGGUCGAUACGGGCAUCACUGGAGUUCGGCAGGGGAGACUGGAAUUCCUGGUGUAGCGGUGAAAUGCGCAGAUAUCUGGAGGAACACCGGUGGCGAAGGCGGCGUUCUGGACUGCAACUGACACUGAGAGACGAAAGCCAGGGGAGCAAACGGG
rnacentral:rRNA from 1 species